AAAUACUUUAGUGGAUUGUCACUUUCUUCCCAGGAGAUCUUCCUGACCCAGGGAUUGAAUCCACGUCUCCUGCAUUGCAAGUGGAUUCUUUAGUGAUGAACUGCUGGGAAGGUGAAUUGGGUGGUUCGAGAGCCACAGAUUGAAGCUGGUUUAAGGAGGUGGCCUGAUUUACUACACAUUCUGUUCUUGCUGGAAGACAAAAGCAACAAAGCCCUGCAAAAGCUCAAGGGAUGACGUCUACAGAAACAUGGAGCUCCUGAUGUUUCUGAAAACACAUGCUCCAGGAAAGAAGUGUUCAGUUGAAACUGACUAUAAGCCCAAUUCUGUUGAAUCUUUGCAAGAAGGAUCAUUUUGUAUAGCACUGCGGUUCAACUGUUGUCUGUCUCCACUCAGGUACAAACAAAUAGAAAUAGGCUUAAAAGGCAAAGGGCU
rnacentral:lncRNA from 1 species